GAUGAACGCUAGCUACAGGCUUAACACAUGCAAGUCGCAGGGUAACAUGAGGAAAGCUUGCUUUCCUUGAUGACGACUGGCGCACGGGUGAGUAACGCGUAUCCAACCUUCCCAUAACUACGGGAUAACCCGUUGAAAGACGGCCUAAUACCGUAUGAUAUCGUUUGCUGACAUCAAAUAACGAUUAAAGGUUUAGCGGUUAUGGAUGGGGAUGCGUCUGAUUAGCUUGUUGGCGGGGUAACGGCCCACCAAGGCGACGAUCAGUAGGGGUUCUGAGAGGAAGGUCCCCCACAGUAGAACUGGGACACGGUCCAAACUCCUACGGGAGGCAGCAGUGCGGAAUAUUGGUCAAUGGGCGAGAGCCUGAACCAGCCAAGUAGCGUGCAGGAAGACGGCCCUAUGGGUUGUAAACUGCUUUUAUGUGGGGAUAAAGUGCGUGACGUGUCAUGCAUUGCAGGUACCACAUGAAUAAGGACCGGCUAAUUCCGUG
rnacentral:rRNA from 1 species